rnacentral:rRNA from 1 species
AGCUAUAUAUUAAAGAGAUUUAUUUAUAUAAAUAGGUUUGCUAGCUGAUUGUGUAUAUACGCAGGCCAAUGCUUCUAAUUUCAUAGCAAGCUCGCUUGCUAUGAAAUAGGCAACCAGUAAUAUAAGCAAGUGUGUGCUAUUUAUAGCGCUAGCCUACAAACCUAUAAUUAUAUUAACUCUAAGAGAAAUUUAAUAAUAAACGAAGUGAAUUGAAAUAUCUUAGUAACUUUAGGAAAAGAAAUCAAAAGAGAUUCUAUGAUUAGCGUGAGCUAAAAUAGACUAGCCUAAAAAGUCAAAUGGUGGAUAAACUGUUUAAAUUAAAUGGGGAACCUUCCUCAAAGGCUAAAUAUAAUAUAUAAGCGAUAGUGGAAAGUACCGUGAGGGAACCAAAACAAAAACAGUGAUUUUAUAAGCAGUUCGGUAAAAUAAAAAAAAGUUAGAACGUACCUUUUGCAUAAUGGGUCACCAAGUUAACAUUAGAUGCGAGUAGGAGGGAGCAGCCCCGUGCAUACGUAGUUAAACCGAGCGUUAAAAUAACGGUAAGUAUCUAAAGUUAGACCCGAAGCCUGGUGAUUUUACCAUAAUCAGGAUUAUAAAAGUCCGAACGGAAUAUUGUAGCAUAAAUAUCCGAAGAAUUAUGGUAGGUGUAGUGAAAGACAAUACUGACCAGGAUAGCUGGUUUUCUGCGAAACCUAUAACAGUAGGCAAUUUAAGUAUAAUAUCUUAGCAGGUACAGAAUUUAAUCUCAGACAAGACAUAAGGCUUAGCUUGUUAGCAAGUAAAGCUCAUGUUUUAUUUUGUACAAAUUGGGGGAUCAUGAAGAUUUUAUCAGUGAGUAUGUAGACUCGGAAUGGCAAAGAUAUAUCUUAAAUCAUCAGACAUAGAAUGAUAAGGUUGUAUGUCAAAAGGGAAACAGCCCAGAACAAGAGUUAAGGUUCCUAAAUUAUUAGUUGAGUGAAAUUAAGAAGGUUUUUAUUAAAGUCGACAAGGAGAUAGGCUUAGAAGCAGCCAUAAUUUUAUGACCUCGUAACAGAGCGCUUGUUAAGUUUUAAAAGCAUCGAAAAUUUAUCGGAUCUAAACAAUAUACCGAAACCUUGUCCAUAUUAUUUUAUAAUUAAAGCUUAAUUAUAAUUAAAUGGGGUAGCAGAACGUUGAGCUAAAUUAAGAUUUUUAUUUUUUAAAUGAAAUUAUAAUAAUUUAACUCAAGUGAUAAUGGUGACAUGAGUAACUAAAAGAAAAAAUAAAAUUUUUCCGCCUAAAGCUUAUGGAUGUAAUUAAGUAACGGCCUCUAAGUUUAUAUUAUCUAAAGAUUUAAACGAUGAGAUAAUCUUUUGUACUAAGGACGACAUUUUAAGUGAAAAAUGUACUGGAAAAAUAGUACUAAAUUAAUGGCUAUAGCUAAUUAGGGCUAUAGCUAUAAAUGAAAAGUAACCGUACCUAGAAUCUGAAACAAGUAAGCUAGUAGAGAAUACGAAGGCGUAAAUGAGCUAACAAUCAUAAAGGAACUCGGCAAAUUGACUACCGUAACUUCGGGAUAAGGAGAGCUCAUUAUUCUUGAUUAAUAUCAGGUAAAGAGGAAGAAGCAUGAAAUAGUGUUGUACGACUGUUUAAUUAAAACACAGCACUUUGCUGAAAGAUUAAAAAUCUAAGUAUAGAGUGUGAUGUCUGCCCGGUGCCGGCUGGUUAACAGAUAUAAUUAAAUAUACUAAUAUUUGAUGUAGACGGAAACCCCGGUUAAAGGCGGCCUUAACGUGAGGGUCCUAAGGUAGCGAAAUGCCUUGGCCGUUAAAUGCGGUCUUGCAUGAAUGAUGUAACGAUACAACAGCUGUCUCUAUGAUUGACUCAGUGAAAUUGGAAUAGCUGUGCAGAUACAGUUUACCUCUAGUUAGACGAGAAGACCCUAUGCAGCUUUACUGUCACUAAUUAUAGAGUAUGAUAAACAAUUUUCAGAUUAUAAGGUAAUUGACGGCUAGCUUGUUCAGCAAGCUAGCUCUAUGACAAUGAGAAUCCUUUAUUUUUUUUUCAUAUGAAUGAAUUGGUUUAGGAUUAUGAGUAGGUAGCUGCUUCUGCUACUUGGCGCAAGCAUUGCUUGCGUCAAGUGUCUGAAGUAUGCAUUCCAGCUCAUGCAUAGUAAAUCAACCUAAUUCAGCUUAUUUUCCUUUCUGCCAUAAGCGCAUAAUGAUAGAUUUAACUUAAAUUUUGAUUUAUGCCGAGCCCCUCCGGGGCUACUGCAGAAAUAGAUAAGUACCCUUGGCUAAGGAACUAUCGCUAGGGGACAGUUUAUGUGGGGCACAGACCCUGUAAAGAGUAAACAGGAGUGUCUAAUAAUUUAUAAUUAUUUUGUUUGCGAUUUAAGAUAGUGAAACUAUUUUUAAUCAUAUAAAAUUAUUUAUAUGUACAUUCGUUGUAUAUAUAUUUAAAAAAAGGUAGGAUUUUCACUAUAUAGAAAUUAGAGAUAAUAAAAAUAUUAAGAAUAUACCUUUCAGGUAGCACUAAUAUUUUUUAGCUAUUAAGACAGGCUAUCAAGCUAGGCUCUAAUAGUUAUGUAUUAAUUAUCUAAAAAGCUCAACGGCUAAAUCUUGCCUUACUGUUUGAUUAUCAACAAAUCUUACAGUUGCGUAAGCAGGGCAUAGGAUCACAAGAUGCAACAAGGAAAGAUCUUGGAUUAUUGGAAAAGCUACGCUAGGGAUAACAGGCUAAUUUGCGCAAGAGUGUACAAAAUGAGUGCGCGGUUUGGCACCUCGAUGUCGGCUUAACUUAUCCUCAUGGAUGCAGGAACUAUGUAGGGUGCGACUGUUCGUCGAUUAAAAAGUUACAUGAGCUGGGUUAAAUACGUCGUGAGACAGUAUGGUUUCUAUCUUCUAGGGGGAAUUAGAAUAUAAUAAGAACUAACUUUUGUACGAAAGGAACAAGAAGAAUUUAAUUUGUAAAAGGGUUAAAUAAUAGUUACUAACCUAUGGUUUACCUGUUGUCUAUGUGCCCAAAUAUUAAAAUAUAUAUAUGGAGGAAGCUCCUUAAGAGCUUCCCCCGCAAAUUAUAUAUAUCUGUAUAGCUAGCCUGCGGACUCCGGUUAUGCCUGAGUUUGGCAAGCUAAAGCUAUACAUAGGGAUGUUUCUUUCACUAAGAUAAAUAUAUAGCAUAGGCACGGCAGGAAAGCUAAGUUGGUUAAGGAUAAGUGCUGAAAGCAUAUAGGCACGAAGCUUAUCUUAAGAUAUUUCUUAAAUAUACGUAAAAUAUUAUUACGAAGGAUGUAAUAUAGGCUUUAUCCGUACGAAUCAGGAGAUUUUUAAGAAUAAAGUACUAAUUUUAUAAAUAACUAUUUAU